rnacentral:rRNA from 1 species
AACGAACGCUGGCGGCACGCUUAACACAUGCAAGUCGAACGGUAACAGGAGGAGCUUGCUCCUUGCUGACGAGUGGCGAACGGGUGCGUAACACGUGGAUACCUACCUCGAGGCGGGGGGAUAACAUUCUGAAAAGAAUGCUAAUACCGCAUGAGCUCUACGGAGGAAAGGCUUCGGCCACCUUGAGAGGGGUCCGCGUCGGAUUAGCUAGUUGGUGGGGUAAAGGCCUACCAAGGCGACGAUCCGUAGCUGGUCUUAGAGGAUGAUCAGCCACACUGGGACUGAGACACGGCCCAGACUCCUACGGGAGGCAGCAGUGGGGAAUAUUGCGCAAUGGGGGAAACCCUGACGCAGCGAUGCCGUGUGUGUGAAGAAGGCCUUCGGGUUGUAAAGCUCUUUUAGUAGGGACGAUAGUGACGGUACCUACAGAAAAAAGCUACCGGCUAACUCCGUGCCAGCCGCCGCGGUAA